CUUUUACAGUUUCUGUCGCGUAUAUGAACAAGCAAUGAAACUUCUCUACAAAACUGGUCUUCCACAAAUGCCUUAUCAUCAAAACGAAUGCAACUCCUUUCUCUCCAAAUAAGGGCAACAGUAGUCACAAAGGCAGAAGCAGUGAGUGCUUUGUGCCAGUGCUCCUAGCUUUGCUGCAAAUCCAUUGAAGUUCAGUUUCCCAAUUACCAACUGUUCUAUUGUGCCCCUGCCAACAGCAUAGUCUGGUCCAUAGUCGAUUAGUGAUUGGGCAAUCAAAGAACAAAU
rnacentral:lncRNA from 1 species